rnacentral:rRNA from 1 species
UACGUAGGGGGCAAGCGUUGUCCGGAAUCAUUGGGCGUAAAGAGCGUGUAGGCGGCUCGAUAAGUCUGCUGUGAAAGUCCAGGGCUCAACCCUGGAAGGCCGGUGGAAACUGUCGGGCUAGAGUCCGGAAGAGGCGACUGGAAUUCCUGGUGUAGCGGUGGAAUGCGCAGAUAUCAGGAGGAACACCGGUGGCGAAGGCGGGUCUCUGGACCGCCACUGACGCUGAGACACGAAAGCGUGGGUAGCAAACAGG